rnacentral:rRNA from 1 species
GACGAACGCUGGCGGCGUGCUUAACACAUGCAAGUCGAACGGUGAAGCGCCUUCCUUUUUGGUGGGUGUGGAUGAGUGGCGAACGGGUGAGUAACACGUGAGUAACCUGCCCCCUUCUUCUGGAUAACCGCAUGAAAGUGUGGCUAAUACGGGAUAUUCUGGGUCUGUCGCAUGAUGGGUCUGGGAAAGAUAUUGUUUCGGUGGGGGAUGGGCUCGCGGCCUAUCAGCUUGUUGGUGGGGUGAUGGCCUACCAAGGCGGUGACGGGUAGCCGGCCUGAGAGGGGGAGGGGAAGCAGGGGGAAGGGCACCCGGCCGGACCCCAGGGGGGAGGCGGGGGGGGGGAUUAUGGAAAGGGGGGGGCACGAGUGUGGCCGGGACGCGGGGGGAGGGAGGGAGCCCUGGGGGUUGGGAACUUUUUGCGCGAGGGAAGCGGGACGCCCGUUUGUGUGGUUGGGUUGAGGUGAGCUGGAAAAGAAGCGCGGGCAAAUUCGGUG